GUCUACAGCCAUGGCACCCUGAACAUGCCUGAUCUCAUCUGAUCUCAGAAGCUAAGCAGGGUCAGGCCUGGUUACUACUUGGAUGGCAGACCACGUAGGAAUACCAGGUGCUGUAGGCA
rnacentral:rRNA from 1 species